rnacentral:rRNA from 1 species
GUAUAGGACUACAACAUAGCGUUAAUGCACCAUAUCCCAUUAGAGCUCCACAGUUAACCACGCUCGAGAUAGAGUAGUACUGGGAUGGGUGACCGCCCAUGAAGUCUUAGUAUUUUACAUG